GGAGAGGUGGCCGAGUGGUUUAAGGCGCGCGCCUGGAAAGCGCGUGGACGCCGAAAGGCGUCUCGGGAGUUCGAAUCUCCCCUUCUCCGCCA
rnacentral:tRNA from 1 species